rnacentral:rRNA from 1 species
UACGGAGGGUGCAAGCGUUAUCCGGAUUCACUGGGUUUAAAGGGUGCGUAGGCGGAUUUGUAAGUCCGUGGUGAAAUCUCUAAGCUUAACUUGGAAACUGCCAUGGAUACUAUUAGUCUUGAAUGUUGUGGAGGUUAGCGGAAUAUGUCAUGUAGCGGUGAAAUGCAUAGAUAUGACAUAGAACACCAAUUGCGAAGGCAGCUGGGUACACAAAUAUUGACGCUGAGGCGCGAAAGCGUGGGGAUCAAACAGG